GUGCUCCCUUAGGCAGCAUAUAUACUAAAACUGAAUUGAUACAGAAAAGAUUAGUAUGGCCUCUGUGCAAAGAAGACACAGAAAUUUGUGAUACAUUCCACAUUUUU
ensembl:snRNA U6 U6 spliceosomal RNA